GCGGAAUUAACUCAGUGGUAGAGUACUCUCGUCUGAGAGAGAAGUCGCUAGUUCAAAUCUAGCAUUCCGCUCCA
rnacentral:tRNA from 1 species